rnacentral:lncRNA from 1 species
CCAAAUCGUGUUUCUUCCUCUUUUGUUCGAACCCUAGUUUCAUCGACCAUGGGAACGAUUUUUGAUCUCUGUUCUUUCUUCUUUCUCUGUCAAACACAAUCGAUUUAGGGGCUUAUCGAAAUCCUUCAUUCGAAAUCCACCGUCUUAUCGAAAUCCUUCAAUCGUUUUCUUCUCUGGGAGAUCUCACCGUCUCUUAAUCCACCGUCUUUGUCCAUCCUCCGUCUUUGUCCACCCUCCUCCGCGUCUUAUGGAUCUCGGCCUUUUCCUCUUCCUAGUUUCUCCGUGUUUGUCCAUCCUAGUCAGGUACAAGUCUCUUCUCAGUCUUGUUCUUAUUUUGUUCACUUUCUUCUUUGGUUGAAUUCACCAUGUCUGUAAAGUUUACUAUUGUUGAUUCACAAUUAACUAGCGUUGGAUAUUUGGUUCUCUCUAGUUCGUUAUUGUAAAAGCUUAUGAGAAUUAAGGUUUUGAUCGUUUGAUUUAUUGUUUAAACUCGAGUGUAAACAUCAUCUGUCUUUUUGUGAUAUUUAGGUUACGGUAUAAUUAGAUGGCAUUGGAAUUAUAUGUUGUAUUGUAACAUUAAGUUGUGAUUUGUUGUUUAGAAGUGGUAUGAUAGAGGAUUUGCAUGAUUUGUAUCUUUUCUCGGUAUGUUGAUAUGUUGUUGAGGAGAGGUUCUGAGGAGAAUGUUGGUUUACUGAGUUAACUAUCUGAGUUAUAUUUCCAACUCUAUGUAGAUUUACUGAGUUAACUAUAUUUUCUACACUCUCUUUGACGACCAAGAAUUCGUAGAAGAUGGCCCGGAUAUUACGUUUUCAAACAAUAUGGCUACAAAUCUCGACGGUAUAGGUGAUCGUCGCAGAAGAAUACGUGAUAAACAAGCACAUCACCAAUUAAAAGAUGAUUUGAUUGAGAAUAUAUGGACGAAAUUUGGACAUCUUCCAAAUGAUUAAAAAC